CGCUACAUGCAGUCGAACGGUAGCACAGAGAGCUUGCUCUCGGGUGACGAGUGGCGGACGGGUGAGUAAUGUCUGGGAAACUGCCUGAUGGAGGGGGAUAACUACUGGAAACGGUAGCUAAUACCGCAUAACGUCGCAAGACCAAAGAGGGGGACCUUCGGGCCUCUUGCCAUCAGAUGUGCCCAGAUGGGAUUAGCUAGUAGGUGGGGUAACGGCUCACCUAGGCGACGAUCCCUAGCUGGUCUGAGAGGAUGACCAGCCACACUGGAACUGAGACACGGUCCAGACUCCUACGGGAGGCAGCAGUGGGGAAUAUUGCACAAUGGGCGCAAGCCUGAUGCAGCCAUGCCGCGUGUAUGAAGAAGGCCUUCGGGUUGUAAAGUACUUUCAGCGGGGAGGAAGGCGAUAAGGUUAAUAACCUUGUCGAUUGACGUUACCCGCAGAAGAAGCACCGGCUAACUCCGUGCCAGCAGCCGCGGUAAUACGGAGGGUGCAAGCGUUAAUCGGAAUUACUGGGCGUAAAGCGCACGCAGGCGGUCUGUCAAGUCGGAUGUGAAAUCCCCGGGCUCAACCUGGGAACUGCAUUCGAAACUGGGCAGGCUAGAGUCUUGUAGAGGGGGGGUAGAAUUC
rnacentral:rRNA from 1 species